UACAGAGGUCUCAAGCGUUGUUCGGAUUCAUUGGGCGUAAAGGGUGCGUAGGCGGCGCGGUAAGUCGGGUGUGAAAUCUCGGAGCUUAACUCCGAAACUGCAUUCGAUACUGCCGUGCUUGAGGACUGGAGAGGAGACUGGAAUUUACGGGUGUAGCGGUGAAAUGCGUAGAUAUCGGUAAGGAAGACCAGUGGCGGAAGGCGGGUCUCUGGACAGUUCCUGACGCUGAGGCACGAAGGCCAGGGGAGCAAACGGG
rnacentral:rRNA from 1 species